rnacentral:rRNA from 1 species
CCUACGGGUGGCAGCAGUGGGGAAUAUUGCACAAUGGGGGAAACCCUGAUGCAGCGACGCCGCGUGAAGGAAGACGGAUUUCGGUGUGUAAACCUCUAUUUGUAGUGGAGAAAAAUGACGUUUGCUUACUAACAAGCCACGGCUAACUACGUGCCAGCAGCCGCGGUAAGUCGCAGGUGGCAAGCGUUGUCCGGAAUUACUGGGUGUAAAGGGAGCGCAGGCGGGAAGUGAAGUCGGCUGUGAAAGCUACGGGCUCAACUUGUAGACUGCAGUUGAAACUGGCUUUCUUGAGUGCAGUAGAGGUAGGCGGAAUUCGUAGUGUAGCGGUGAAAUGCGUAGAUAUUAGGAGGAACACCGGUGGCGAAGGCGGCCUACUGGACUUUAACUGACGCUGAGGCUCGAAAGUGUGGGGAGCAAACAGGAUUAGAUACCCCAGUAGUC